UUUUAUGGAGAGUUUGAUCCUGGCUCAGGAUGAACGCUGGCGGCGUGCCUAAUACAUGCAAGUCGAGCGAACGGACGAGAAGCUUGCUUCUCUGAUGUUAGCGGCGGACGGGUGAGUAACACGUGGAUAACCUACCUAUAAGACUGGGAUAACUUCGGGAAACCGGAGCUAAUACCGGAUAAUAUUUUGAACCGCAUGGUUCAAAAGUGAAAGACGGUCUUGCUGUCACUUAUAGAUGGAUCCGCGCUGCAUUAGCUAGUUGGUAAGGUAACGGCUUACCAAGGCAACGAUAACCUACCUAUAAGACUGGGAUAACUUCGGGAAACCGGAGCUAAUACCGGAUAAUAUUUUGAACCGCAUGGUUCAAAAGUGAAAGACGGUCUUGCUGUCACUUAUAGAUGGAUCCGCGCUGCAUUAGCUAGUUGGUAAGGUAACGGCUUACCAAGGCAACGAUGCAUAGCCGACCUGAGAGGGUGAUCGGCCACACUGGAACUGAGACACGGUCCAGACUCCUA
rnacentral:rRNA from 1 species